AAAAUAAUGAGAUUUUUUGGGCAGUUCACAACGCACACUUUUUCCUACUUUGCAGUAGAACGUCUGCCGGGUCGACUAGUUGGUAAUAAAAUUCACCGAUCUCGAGGAUAGACAGCUCGUUUUGUAUUCGUUGAUCUUGAUAUCACCGUUUACCAGGCACCGUGAAUCAGAAAAGUAAGCAGCAAUGUAACUCUAAUGGCGGUAAGCACCAACGAGGAUAAUACUCGAUUUAAUACGGAUUAUAGAAAAUCCGGUAUUAAAGUUAAUACCUUGAACGUUGCGGUGGCCGGUGAUAUACGGAAGGAAGUUCAGGUUUUCACUUUUUUUACGGCAUAGAAUCGGCGGAAUCGGUUUCAUUCGACAAAGAUCCAAGAGACGGAAAUCCAUUUAUGGCGGAAAAAACAAGCAGAUGGCAAUACUUGAGAAAUUGUUACGAUUCCUAGUUGUCUCAAAUUUGUGAAAGUGAUAAAGGUCAGUGUGUUUUGUUUCGAGUCAAGAUCCCUAUUAUGUUCCGCAACUGAUGAGAUGAUCUCUGGAAUAACCCGCUGUGCCAAUCCCGGAUUCUGCACCAGCACUUUGGGAGCGGAACAACCUCUGAGGAACUGAUGACGGCUUCUACGGCGUAAUCGACCAUGCAGAAUAUUUACAAACACCCGUUCCAUAAUUCGCCAUGGCGCAAUGCAUAACUGCUCCACAGGACAUCGGAUCGUCGAUCAGUUUCGAAAAGUCCCACAUAAACCAGUCUCGGUGGAAAUGUCGAAGGAAAGCACGAAGAGAAUCAGGACGACCACGGAUACAUCUCGCGGCACUUCAUAUCAGGCGGAAUUUUCACCAUUUCGGAACCGAAGAAAGCACUCAUGAGCUCGAAUGGGAGAGAAUCUAUACCGAUUGUACAAACCGGUGAAGUGAUAAAGUGGAGUGGGGUGUUAACAGUUUGAUUUUGUUAGUUAACGUUUGUUUUAAUAAAGGAUUUUAUUAUAAUGUAAGCAGAAAAA